rnacentral:rRNA from 1 species
AUUGAACGCUGGCGGCAUGCUUUACACAUGCAAGUCGAACGGCAGCGCGGGCUUCGGCCUGGCGGCGAGUGGCGAACGGGUGAGUAAUGCAUCGGAACGUGCCCAGUAGUGGGGGAUAGCCCGGCGAAAGCCGGAUUAAUACCGCAUACGACCUGAGGGUGAAAGCGGGGGACCGAAAGGCCUCGCGCUAUUGGAGCGGCCGAUGUCGGAUUAGCUAGUUGGUGGGGUAAAGGCUUACCAAGGCGACGAUCCGUAGCUGGUCUGAGAGGACGACCAGCCACACUGGGACUGAGACACGGUCCAGACUCCUACGGGAGGCAGCAGUGGGGAAUUUUGGACAAUGGGGGCAACCCUGAUCCAGCCAUGCCGCGUGCGGGAAGAAGGCCUUCGGGUUGUAAACCGCUUUUGUUCGGGAAGAAAUGCUGUGGGCUAAUACCCCGGGGGGAUGACGUUACCGGAAGAAUAAGCACCGGCUAACUACGUG